rnacentral:sRNA from 1 species
AAAAUUUAAGAUAUUUUAUCAAAAUAUAUGUAUAUAUAUACAUAUUCUUAGUAAAUUAAAUAAACAUUUGUUAUCAUUUUUGUUAUAAUCAACCUUCACUUCUGGAAUAAUAAUAAUUGGUUUAAGAAUCUAUUUGGCCUUUGAAUGAAUCAACACUAUGUACAUCCUACUAAAACUUUUGUCUCCUCAUUGUAUCAUUGUUUACAUGGGUCAUGAUUAGUUUCGCUGUAAGAGCUAUCUACGGCCUUAAUUUUAAGUAUAUCCUUAAAAAUUUAGCAAUCAUGAUGUACUUUAAUUUUAGAACUUAGAGACAAAAAAAAGUUAAAGAACGACCAACAAUAAUUCCUAAAGCUCUCGUUUCUUUGUCGUGAGGAAUGACCAACAACUGUAAAAAAUAUUUUGUGUUUUAUUAUAGCCUUUAUUUAUCUUUUAGGUACAAUUUUGGUUACCAAUUAAUUUUUUCUUCAUUU